GAUGAACGCUGGCGGCGUGCCUAAUACAUGCAAGUCGAGCGGACAGACGCGGAGCUUGCUCCGCUGACGUUAGCGGCGGACGGGUGAGUAACACGUGGAUAACCUACCUGUAAGACUGGGAUAACUUCGGGAAACGGGAGCUAAUCCCGGAUAAUAUAUUGAACCGCAUGGUUCAAUAGUGAGAGACGGUUUUGGUGGCUCUUAUAGAGGGAUCCGCGCCGCAUUAGCUAGUUGGUAAGGUAACGGCUUACCAAGGCAACGAUGCGUAGCCGACCUGACAGAGUGGUAGGCCACACUGGAACUUAGACGCGGUCCAGACUCCUAAGGGAGGCAGCAGUAGCGAAUCUGCCGCAAUAGGCGAAAGCCUGACGGAGCAACGCCGCGUGAGUGACGAAGGUCUUCGGAUCGUAAAACUCUCUUAUUAGGGAAGAACAAAUGUGUAAGUAACUAUGCACGUCUUGACGGUACCUAAUCAGAAAGCCACGGCUAACUACGUG
rnacentral:rRNA from 1 species